rnacentral:rRNA from 1 species
GACAGAGGUGCCAAGCGUUAGGCGGAAUCACUGGGCUUAAAGCGUGUGUAGGCGGAUGUCUAAGUACCUUGUGAAAUCCCACGGCUCAACCGUGGAACUGCUGGGUAUACUGGAUGUCUUGAGCCAGCUAGGGGCUACCGGAACAAAAUGGUGGAGCGGUGAAAUGCGUAGAUAUCAUUUGGAACGCCAAUGGUGAAAACAGGUAGCUGGGGCUGUGCUGACGCUGAGACACGAAAGCCAGGGGAGCGAACGGGG